rnacentral:rRNA from 1 species
UGGGGAAUUUUGGACAAUGGGCGCAAGCCUGAUCCAGCCAUGCCGCGUGCAGGAAGAAGCCUUCGGGUUGUAAACUGCUUUUGUCCAGGGAAGAAAUCCUUUGGGUUAAUACCUCGAAGGGAUGACGGUACCUGAAGAAUAAGCACCGGCUAACUACGUGCCAGCAGCCGCGGUAAUACNUAGGGUGCGAGCGUUAAUCGGAAUUACUGGGCGUAAAGCGUGCGCAGGCGGCUUUGCAAGACAGAUGUGAAAUCCCCGGGCUCAACCUGGGAACUGCAUUUGUGACUGCAAGGCUAGAGUGCGGCAGAGGGAGAUGGAAUUCCGCGUGUAGCAGUGAAAUGCGUAGAUAUGCGGAGGAACACCGAUGGCGAAGGCAAUCUCCUGGGCCUGCACUGACGCUCAUGCACGAAAA